AUUAAAGUGCCUGAAAAAGGAUUAUCUUGAUAGGGUAAAUAAUGUAAUAAAUAAUUACCUUUAAUA
rnacentral:tRNA from 1 species